UAGAUAAAAGCCUGAUGGAUAAGGUGUUUAGCUGUUAACUAAAAUGUUCAUGGGAUAAAAGCCCAUUUAUCUAG
rnacentral:tRNA from 1 species